GACGAACGCUGGCGGCGUGCCUAAUACAUGCAAGUCGAACGCUGAAGGAGGAGCUUGCUUCUCUGGAUGAGUUGCGAACGGGUGAGUAACGCGUAGGUAACCUGCCUGUUAGCGGGGGAUAACUUUUGGAAACGAUAGCUAAUACCGCAUAAGAGUAGAUGUUGCAUGACAUUGGCUGAAAAGUUUCAAUUGCAUCACUACCAGAUGGAGCUGCGUUGUAUUGGCGAGGUGGUGGGGUAACGGCUCACCAUGGCGACGAAACAUAGCCGACCGGAGAGGGGGAUCGGCCACCCUGGGAGUGAGACAGGGCCCAGACUCCCGGGGGAGGCAGCAGUAGGGCAUCUUCGGCCAUGGACGGAAGUCUGACCGCGCAACGCCGCGUGAGUGAAGAAGGUUUUCGGGUCGUAAAGGUCUGUUGUCAGGGAAGAACGAGUGUUCGAGUGGAAAGUUCACACUGUGACGGUAUCUUACCAGAAAGGGACGGCUAACUACGUG
rnacentral:rRNA from 1 species